rnacentral:lncRNA from 1 species
CAACAAUCUAAGUCAAUUAGUAUAAUAUUUGCUUAUUUAAACAAAGCUUGUGAAUUACUUGUGAUUGUGUGCUUUUCUAUCUCUUCUACAAUCUACUUUUGAGUACAAUCAUACCUAAUAAGUGCUGUGUUCAUAAGUGUUCCUCCGGAUAUGAUGGAAAACCAGCCAUAGCAAGGUUAUCACUCCAUUCUUUUCCACUGGAUGAAUCCUCUAAAGGUGUCUGGCUUAGACCCAUUCCACGGGACAGCAAUGGGACUUAUGCACCUUCUAAGUAUUCAAGGGUAUGUUCUCUCCAUUUUGAGGAGGAUGACUUUGUAUAUGAGAGCGCAGACCACAA